rnacentral:rRNA from 1 species
AUUGAACGCUGGCGGCAGGCCUAACACAUGCAAGUCGAACGAGUGGCGGACGGGUGAGUAAUGUCUGGGAAACUGCCCGCUGGAGGGGGAUAACUACUGGAAACGGUAGCUAAUACCGCAUACCAUCGGAUGUGCCCAGAUGGGAUUAGCUUGUAGGUGAGGUAACGGCUCACCGAGGCGACGAUCCCUAGCUGGUCUGAGAGGAGGACCAGCCACACUGGAACUGAGACAGGGUCCAGACUACUACGUGAGGCAGGAGUGGGGAAGAUGGGACAAUGGGGGCAAGCCUGAUGAAGCCAGGCCGCGGGUAUGAAGAAGGCCUUCUGGUUGUAAAGUACUUGCAGCGGGGAGGCGUUACCCGCAGAAGAAGCACCGGCUAACUCCGUGCCAGCAGCCGCGGUAAUUC